AAGAUGAGUUUGACUGUGGUCCAUAAUCUUUGUCGAUCAUCUUGUACUUCCCCUCGUGAAAGAUUAAACAGGGGUGUGGAGACUUCUUCCACCUACGACAUAAUCCACAUCGUGCCUGCCGCGAUUGUCGAGACCUCUAGCUUGAUGACAUACGCAGGCGCCCACGCGCCGCCGGUGAUGGAAACGGGAAGUGACACGCUAAUGAUUGCAAAACGAAAUCGAGUUGGAGCCCGCCUCAGGAUAGCGCCGCGAUGAUGGACGUGCGUGCAGCCCGCUUGGAGAUGACGCGCGUCACCUGCUCCACGCGCGCGGAAAUGAACGGACGGCUAACGAGGCCUGUUUCGAAUCAACAAGACGGGGGAGAUGGACGGGGGACGCGAGCGCCACCUCGUUGCCGGCCCACCGGCAGCCUUGCAAGAAGGCGACGUAAGACCCGGUUGGAGGCUUUGCUGCAUGUUUAUCUGAUCACUUUUCCCCCUGCCGGGACCACGAGGGACUGGAAUCGCUUGCUGUGUUCACUUGAUUAUUAUUUUUUUUCCAUUGGCCCUCAGUGGUGGAAGUGCUGCGGCUCGGGAAGUCGGGGUGUCAUGGAGCUAACGCCUGGCCGGUGAACCACGAGGAAGGAUCCUCGUGUGGAUUUGGAAGACAUUUAUGAUGGGAAGCCUGUAAUUAUGCGGGCAUCCGCCAGAUAGCUUAGCAGCACCGACGUUAAUAUCAACCGCGAGGGCUGUAACGCUCGGGUUCCCUCGACUCCCCACAAAGCACAUGCAAGACGUUGUUGCGAAGGAAUCAUUCCCGGCCAGCCUCCCCGAUGGGGCUUAUCGACGACGACGGUGUCAGGUCAGUGACUCCCGUCCCGUCACCGCCUGGCAUCUGUCACAUAAUCACGAUAAACACCAGCUUGACCUUCGCGCCCCCCGAUUCAAAUCUCAUUGGGUAAUUUGCCUUCAUUAAUUGAGUCACCGGACUCCUGUGGGGGACAAAAUAUGAGCAACGGUGCUCAGUGUGACGUGCGGCGUGAGCACACCAAAAAACGAUCAAUAUCAACAAACAACAGUGAUGAGCGCAUGUGAUAAUUUCAGACUUAGAUCCCAGACGCCGAUAGGCCUGCUGGGACUGGAUGCUUUGGGCUGCUUACCGGAAUCCUCCAAACAACGCCGGCAACAUUUCUGCUUGUGGAAAGUUUGGUUGCUGGUUUUAAGCUUUUAUCAGCAUCACCCUCAUGGCGGCGGAAUCUGUUUCUUUGCUUUUGCUGCGCUUGUUCCAGACGAGUCACAGCGGCUGUGGGAGGGAUGCAAGCCUCGAGAGGAGGCUCAAGUUCGAGUAAUUGAAGUUUCAGAUUGUUGGACUGCUUCACGGCAUGAAUUUCGUGGCCGCGUGUUUGAAUCAAACCGAACUUGUCGGACCAGUUUUAUUUUUCAAUAUUCCUCGUCCACUUUUACAUUUCAGGGCCCUAAUUUUGGGACUCGUGCAAGUCUAGCGCAAAAGCACAGAGCAACUGUGUGCAUAUGGGUGGUGUUUUCUUUCUUUUGGUAUUUUAGGCAGACGGGCCAUUUGCGCCGUUGUGGGAGGGAACACAGCGGACUUGUGUCGUGGAAAUGUGACAUUGAACAAUGUUAUCUUAUAAUUAACUGUUUACUUGUGUCGCACAUCCUGGUGUC